rnacentral:lncRNA from 1 species
UUGAAACCGGAUAUAUAUACUCUUUUUUUUGAAUCUGGAUAAAUAUACUCUUUCAUUUCAUUUUUUUUUUUUGCCAGACACUCAGGAAUUCAAAUGGGAAAACAAAAAUUGGAGCUGAUGGAUAAAGAUACGUACAAGAUGAAUUAUCUCACUUGAUGUUUAAGAAUAAAAUGGACGAAUCUCUGAUUCCAAAUGAUGCAAACCCACAAGGAUAAGAUUCUUAGAACCCACGAACAAGAUGGUAUUCUAACCUUAAGAAAGCAAAAACCAGAUUUGGAUGAUCCACUAGAACCCUUGAACAUGAUGAAACAAGGAUCCAAAGU